rnacentral:rRNA from 1 species
GAUGAACGCUGGCGGCGUGCCUAAUACAUGCAAGUCGAGCGAACGGACGAGAAGCUUGCUUCUCUGAUGUUAGCGGCGGACGGGUGAGUAACACGUGGAUAACCUACCUAUAAGACUGGGAUAACUUCGGGAAACCGGAGCUAAUACCGGAUAAUAUUUUGAACCGCAUGGUUCAAAAGUGAAAGACGGUCUUGCUGUCACUUAUAGAUGGAUCCGCGCUGCAUUAGCUAGUUGGUAAGGUAACGGCUUACCAAGGCAACGAUGCAUAGCCGACCUGAGAGGGUGAUCGGCCACACUGGAGCUGAGCCACGGUCCAGAGUCCUACGGGAGGCAGCAGUAGGGAAUCUUCCGCAAUGGGCGAAAGCCUGACGGAGCAACGCCGCGUGAGUGAUGAAGGUCUUCGGAUCGUAAAACUCUGUUAUUAGGGAAGAACAUAUGUGUAAGUAACUGUGCACAGCUUGACGGUACCUAAUCAGAAAGCCACGGCUAACUACGUG